GUGAUGACACAUUGUAGGCUGUGGAGAAGCAGAUCCCGGAACCGCUUCGAUCCCCUCAACGGGAUGGAACGCAAUGCCGUGAUCGUUGGAAACUCCAUCGUCCGGCACGUCAGUGCUGCCCUAGCUAAAGGUCAGUGACAAGAAGCUGUGCAGACGGAGGCCAUCACGAGGACCAUCACUCACCCACCCGGGCUGCGUCUUAUCAGUCAUGGUGUGGACCUCCUGCUAGAGCCUGAAUGGAUAAACAUCAAUUUCUGCUCAAAGGUUAAUAGUCUUUUGUCACGUCCUGACAGCCUGUUGCGCUUUAGUGAUUUCUCACGUGUUCUCCUUAUUUGGAAAAUGGCAGGUCAAGGACAAAGUGGAUGGUGACAAAGAGUCAGUGAGUGAACGGGACAUUUUUCAGAGAAACAUCUGAGAUGUCACUGAAGGAUGCUGAACAUAAACUCAGGAGAAAAUAAACCAGUGUUGCAACAGAUCUGGUGUCUGGUUUGCGGGUCCAGAGGGUUUAAUCUUUAUCUGUAAGAUCUUUACUGGUUUUAUUGUCCAAAUGUAACUCUGAGUAUCAUAAGUGUCGUACAAUUCCAGCUGGGACCAAUUACAGCUGACGUGAUCCUGGAAAGACAGCAAGAAGGAAUCUAAAAAAAUCAAUAUGACAAGACUUACACUCAUCCAAGAAAUGCUGGACUGCUCUGUUUGACCAUUAUUAAACAGUCCUCCAGCAGACAAGUUUAUUGAUUCGGCAUGACAUGAUAUUGUCAGUAGUUUUUUUUUUUUUUUUUUUUUAGUUCACAUGAUUUCAGUUCAUUUUCCUCUUGAGUUGUCCUUUACAGGAAUAGUUCCCUCAGAAGUGAAGAUGCUGUCAUCAUUUACUCGCUCUCAUGCCGCUCCAAAUCUAUCACUUAAACAUAAGAGAAGCAGAUGCUGGAUGAAGAUGUAAAGGGUGGUCAGAUGUUCUUCUCUUUGUAUCAUCUCAAAUCAUGCUGGAGAUCAUCAGGUUUUGAGGAAAAUAUCCCGCCAUCUUUCACUGAUAUUCCCACAGCGUCUGCUCAGGUAAGUGACAUCUCAUGACCUUUACAAUCUCAUAAUAUUUCUUUUCCCACUGUGCUCGAGCAGAAUAUCAUCCAUAUUUCAGUUUCUUCAGCUCUGUUUCUAAGCCUAGGGAGCCUAGACAGGAUUUGAAGGAAUUGCAGUUACACGUCUGACAUGGAAAAUUACACAGCUAAACACCAAAAAAACUGUAUUUCAUCUCAAUGGUGUAUUUCACUCAGGGUGCUGCCUACCCAGGGAACAUUUUUUCAAUGUUAACUAAAGUUUUAUUAAAAGUUAACUAGGACAAAAUGUUCUUAAAGUAAUGUUUAUGGACCGUUCUUACAGUUUUAUUAAUAUUUGAUAUACGUUCUCAUAAUGUUGAGAGAAAACAUUCUUAGAAUAUUAAAAAUUUUAGAAUAACGUUAUAUUUUAGGUGAAAAUUAAGUUAGUAGAAUGCUGUUAGAAACGUUUUUGGAACCUUUAAAUGAUGUGUGUGUGUGUGUGUGUGUGUGUGUGUGUGUGUGUGUGUGUGUGUAUAUAUAUAUGUUACCCUCUUCGUCUGUGUGCUCCCCCAAAUGUCUCUGCGAUGUGUUUGGGUGAUGGUUGAAUGAGGAGGACACAAAGAUUGUUGUCAUCACAGCAGUGAAGCUUAUUUAUUGGGCUCUUUAUCUGCAUCAUCCACUUUUCACAAGGAAAAUAUAACUGUUAGUUACUACGGUGACGCAUUGCUGCCACAUACAAAUUAUUUUUUCCACUCACUUAUGUCGUAAUAACGAGAUGUUAUGUCGUUUUAACCACUGAUCUAUAUAUGACAAAUCAAACUUCAGUCAUUCAAAUAAAGAAAUAUUAAGCUGAGAGUCGAUUAUUCA
ensembl:lncRNA